UGGCAGCUGUGCUGGAUGCCCGCUAUGAGGUA
rnacentral:piRNA from 1 species